rnacentral:lncRNA from 1 species
CCUCGUCCCGCUCUCCGACGGCAGUCAGGCCUCACGGGGCCCCGUACCCGCCGGGCCGCGCCGCUGCCAUGGGAACGGGGGCGGGCCCCGGCGCCGCUCCCAUACAGCAGCGCUGACGGGCAGCGGCGGACCCGCCUCCCCAGUUCCCGCGAUGACACCGAGGCCUUCAGCAAGAGCAUGAGCCACCUUCUGCCCAAUCAACUGUGGAUGGAAGAGGAAUAAGAUAGACCCGCUGGCCUGUUUUCUGGUAGUGCUUUUCCACAUACUGUUUCCCAAAGCCCAGGAACGUGUUCAUGCAGAUAUAUAAGCCGCCAUCGGAUUCCGGCGUGUCGAAGGAGAAGGCGCACUCGUCCUUAUGGACCCGGUCGCCGGCCUUAGGCACCCGGAUGGACGGCAACACCGAGAGCAGCGCUUCGCUCAGCUCCGC